GUCAACCACUCCCCCCAAGCCCUGGCGGGUUAUAGGCGGAGCUUGUGAGGAAACUUGCAGGUUCCUGGUUGACCAGGCUCAGUCCCGGAAUCCGGGGCUACGUUGGUGAGGUCAGGACACCCUGGAAUGCGUGUGCCAGUUCCAGGCUCUGUCGAGGCGGAUUAACAGCAAGCUGGGAGUGAUGCAAGCGGUGUCCGUCUCGGAAAAAACCUCUCCAACCUUGCCGAGGCGCACAUGACCGGCCCACAAGGCCG
rnacentral:sRNA from 1 species